GACGAACGCUGGCGGCGUGCUUAACACAUGCAAGUCGAACGGUAAGGCCCUUCGGGUACGACGAGUGGCGAACAGGUGAGUAACACGUGGGUGAUCUGCCCUGCACUUCGGGAUAAGCCUGGGAAACUGGGUCUAAUACCGGAUAGGACUCCUGGCUUCAUGGUUGGGGGUGUAAAGCUUUUGCGGUGUGGGAUGGGCCCGCGGCCUAUCAGCUUGUUGGUGGGGUAAUGGCCUACCAAGGCGACGACGGGUAGCCGGCCUGAGAGGGUGACCGGCCACACUGGGACUGAGAUACGGCCCAGACUCCUACGGGAGGCAGCAGUGGGGAAUAUUGCACAAUGGGCGCAAGCCUGAUGCAGCGACGCCGCGUGAGGGAUGACGGCCUUC
rnacentral:rRNA from 1 species